rnacentral:lncRNA from 1 species
UGUCUGUUAGUGAAUAAUAGCACACAUUUGAGCUACUUCAGGGUCUGUGAGAUGACCCAUUCAACAACAUGGCCUCACAUGCCCUUGUUCUCUUAGGCACUUCAGCAACCCAACCUUAGGGCUACACCUUGGAUCAUGUUGCCAGUCAGUGCUGCUUGACCAGAAUUUUGAAUUCUGGCCACAGCUGCUUCUUGGACUUUUCAUGUCACUCUUUCAUGUUUAUUAAGUUUUGUCUUAAUUUCCAUAAUCUUUGCCAGUUCUUUAACCCCUCUAAAAUUCUCAGUCUCUCACUCCUCUGCUAAGGAAGGGUUUGAAGGCUGCAAAAAAUUGGAAGGAGGCAGAGGGAAGAAUGUUAAUCUAGAAGCUUUUGCAUAGCAAGCAGAAACUUCUAGAUUCAUUAGUAUUUAGAAUGUAUGCUUACCUGGUGCACCUUGUGGGUAACCAUAGAGAUUAUGGAUAGAAUAACGGGAAAGGAGAGAGGGAGAUGAUAGGGGACUACACUCAGAGGUGGUGAGAAAGACAGAAAAGGAGAGAUUUAAAGACGUGUAGAGAACAUCUGGUUUACUUGCCUCACUAGUCAUCGUGGUUGUCACAUUUGGACUGCACAGGAAGCAUUAUAGAGAGAUUAUAGAACCCGGCUGGUUCUUGGAUCCAACUGACUGUGUGUCUGUGUGUCUGGGAUUCCUUUUGGAUCCUGCUAUGCCAAAACUGGAUCAAAACGAACGCCAAGUGCUUACUUUGAAAAAAUAGGCAAAUGGUGGUGGCAAUGGCUCACGCCUGUAAUUCCAGCACUUUGAGAGACC